rnacentral:rRNA from 1 species
UACGUAGGGGGCAAGCGUUGUUCGGAAUUACUGGGCGUAAAGCGCACGUAGGCGGAUAUUUAAGUCAGGGGUGAAAUCCCGGGGCUCAACCCCGGAACUGCCUUUGACUACUGGGUAUCUCGAGUCCGAGAGAGGUGAGUGGAAUUCCGAGUGUAGAGGUGAAAUUCGUAGAUAUUCGGAGGAACACCAGUGGCGAAGGCGGC